AUCUCUGUAGAGUCUGCAUAUCAAUAAGCGGAGGAAAAGAAACUAACAAGGAUUCCCUUAGUAACGGCGAGUGAAGCGGGAAGAGCUCAAAUUUGAAAUCUUCAAGGUUUUACCUUGACGAAUUGUAGUUUAAAGAAGUGUUUUCUGUUGGAGUUUCGGUAAAAGUUCUUUGGAAUAGGACAUCAUAGAGGGUGAGAAUCCCGUAUUUGACCAUUAUUUUCAGCUGUGUGAUACACUUUCAAAGAGUCGGAUUGUUUGGGAAUGCAGUCCAAAAUGGGUGGUAAAUUUCAUCUAAAGCUAAAUAUUGGCGAGAGACCGAUAGCGAACAAGUACCGUGAGGGAAAGAUGAAAAGAACUUUGAAAAGAGAGUUAAACAGUACGUGAAAUUGUCAAAAGGGAAGCGUUUGACACCAGUGUUGUUUUCUCGAAAAUCAAUUAAGAAUGGCAUGAUUUUGUGUUGUAUUGACCUUUAUCAGCUUUCCUUCACUCUUUUCGAUGUCUUUUUUAAUGCACUUUUCGGUUAACAAGUCAACAUCAAUUUCUUUUGUUGUAAAAGAGUCAUUGGAAGGUGGCUUUCACUUCGGUGAAAGUGUUUAUAGCCCUAUAGGCUUCUAGCAAUCGGAGAGAUUGAGGUCUGCAGCGUAGAUCCUUCGGGGUUAGAUACACUUGUGCUAAGUUGUAGCUUUUCAUAGACAACUUGUUGACUAUGUUUAGUCAUAGCGGCUUACUCGCUUGUGCUAUUUUACCUACGCUUAGGAUGUUGAAGAUGUAGCACAUCAU
rnacentral:rRNA from 1 species